rnacentral:rRNA from 1 species
AACGAACGCUGGCGGCAUGCCUAACACAUGCCAGUCGAACGAGACCUUCGGGUCUAGUGGCGCACGGGUGCGUAACGCGUGGGAACCUGCCCUUAGGUUCGGAAUAACUCCCCGAAAGGGGUGCUAAUACCGGAUAAUGUCUUCGGACCAAAGAUUUAUCGCCUUUGGAUGGGCCCGCGUUGGAUUAGCUAGUUGGUAGGGUAAAAGCCUACCAAGGCGACGAUCCAUAGCUGGUCUGAGAGGAUGAUCAGCCACACUGGGACUGGGACACGGCCCAGACUCCUACGGGAGGCAGCAGUGGGGAAUAUUGGACAAUGGGCGAAAGCCUGAUCCAGCAAUGCCGCGUGAGUGAUGAAGGCCUUAGGGUUGUAAAGCUCUUUUACCCGGGAUGAUAAUGACAGUACCGAGAGAAUAAGCUCCGGCUAACUCCGUG